GACGGAGGAUGCAAGUGUUAUCCGGAAUCACCGGGCGUAAAGCGUCUGUAGGUGGUUUAAUAAGUCAACUGUUAAAUCUUGAGGCUCAACUUCAAAAUCGCAUUCGAAACUAUUAGACUAGAGUAUAGUAGGGGUAAAGGGAAUUUCCAGUGGAGCGGUGAAAUGCGUAGAGAUUGGAAAGAACACCAAUGGCGAAAGCACUCUGCUGGUCCGACACUGACACUGAGGCACGAAAGCUAGGGGAGCAAACAGG
rnacentral:rRNA from 1 species